ACAACAAACUGAACGCUCACAGCGAACAGACGUGUUGACUUUAAAACUUUAAUCAAAAACAAUCAAAAUGUACACAAACCCUUUCGAGAGGAAGCAUUCGUCGUUGAGGCAAGCCCUUGACCGCUUCAUCCGUGGAGAGACGAGGAUCAGCUUCAGGAAGAAGACGGAUUUAUCCAAGUCUUCGAGUAGCAGUACAUCGUCCAUGGUGUCUUCGACCAUGGAUUACAAGCCCAAGUUCAAUGAGAAGAGGUGAAGAGACAGUGCGUGUGUGUUGUGAUAGUGAAAUAUUUUUGCCAGUUCCACUCUCUGAACAGGUCGAGUGAGUUGCAGACCGGUUGAGUGACGCCAGCAGGCCCAGUGGACAUGGGACUUUACCCGCUAAAAUGAAUGAAUAAACAUUUGUUCCUUUUUUGAAA